CCCCCUCCCCGGCCGGCGCGCCGUCCCUCCUGCUGGCGUUUCGCAGGCCUUGCCGAGAACGGGGGCUGCGAGCAACAAUACAGAUACCGAGAGAUUAUAUAGAGCGCAGAAUAAGUUUCAUAUAAGGCUUUGGUACAGCACCAUCAUGUCUCAGAUUUAUUUCUAAAUCGUUUACAGAGAAGGAAGGAAAAAAAAAAAAAAAGCUUACUGAAAAAAUAGUGUUUCGUUUUUCCUUUCUUUUUUUUUUUAAUAAUUAUUUUCUUCUUUUGAGUAGCAUACCUGAAGUUCAAAAAUGAACCCUCGAGUCGCCGUCCGGGCUCACGCCCCGUGCAACUUUUGCUGGGCGCCUCUGCGCGAUCUAAAGCACCAAGCAAACCAAGCCCGAGGACGGCGAGACCGCCGCGCCGCCGACCCGGCUCAGGUCCCCAACCCACGUCGCACAAGGCAAGAACCGUCCUCGGAAAAGGAAACGGUGGAUGGAGAAGCAGAGAAGCUGAAACACAAUAUAAUGUAAAAAUACUCGCUCUGCUCCGGCUAUUUAGACUCUCUCCACCUCCGACAGCCUCUCUCGCGCUGCACAGAAGUUUCUGCUGCCUAUUACUAAGGAAUUAUUUUAAAUACUUAUUCCCUCCUCCCCCCCUCUAAAAUAGAAAGUAAAUAUUUAUUUGUAUAAUUUUAUAUACAAUGCAGUUUCAAUACACCAAUAUCAUUUCUUUAGGGGUUCCUAGAGAUACUGGGGCUCGUUUCUCGGGUCCUUUUUU
rnacentral:lncRNA from 1 species